UACGUAGGGGGCAAGCGUUGUCCGGAUUUAUUGGGCGUAAAGAGCGUGUAGGCGGCCAGGUAGGUCAGCUGUGAAAACUCGAGGCUCAACCUCGAGACGUCGGCGGAAACCAUCCGGCUAGAGUCCGGAAGAGGAGAGUGGAAUUCCUGGUGUAGCGGUGAAAUGCGCAGAUAUCAGGAAGAACACCCGUGGCGAAGGCGGCUCUCUGGGACGGUACUGACGCUGAGACGCGAAAGCGUGGGGAGCGAACAGG
rnacentral:rRNA from 1 species